UUACCGGAAGUGGUUUUAACUCAAGUUUGGGAGGGGACUCGAUGGAAGGGCACUUUGGCGUACUAGAAAGGGUAGGAAGAGGUUCAUAUCGGAUACGCCAAGGAUGAGAAUUUGUGGGAGACGGAUUGUCAAGUAGGACAUUGACUUCUUCUAUGGCCUUGUUUAAAUUAAAAUUAUCAAUGUCAAAAUGGGCUAAACAUGCUUCCAAAGGGUCAUCUGCCAGAAUGUAGGGAAGGGCUUCUUCUACAAGAUCGUCCAUUUUGUCUACUAGGAAGCACUCAUCUUCCCUUGCAGGUUGAUCAGAGGCAUGGAAUACAUUUAGUUUGAUUUUUAUGUUCCCAAAGGAUAUAUCCAUCACCCCAGUUCUACAGUUAAUACAUGCAUUGGCUGUAGCUAAGAAGGGACGACCAAGAAU
rnacentral:lncRNA from 1 species